CGAAAUUCUACAAAUUCCAACAAUUAGCAGGGGCCUAAUGUCCAUCCUCUAAGCCCACACAAGGGGGGUGCAUUCGCUGGUUAAGGAGUACAGAAGCACAUGAAGGGAACUUGGGCUUAUGGCCCAAACGAACCCUAAAACAAUGCAAGCGGACUAGAUCCACUCACACAAACGAAUUCUAUGUUCUCUCUCGCAAGCUCCACCAUCCCUUCAUCAUGAACAUCACUGAAACACACACACCAUGCCGGACUCCCUCACACCGGCAACGAGACCUUCCCACGACCACCGUCACCUCCAAAGAAACUACUCAUCUCCUUCCCUUAAAUCAUACCUCUACACCGGUCCGUCCUCACCGCCGAUGAAGUGAGGAGUUCGCCUAAUACAAAGAGGGACGCUACAUCGUUGCCGUAACGAAGUUGCGAACUAGAAGCAAAGUAAAAUGAAGGAAAUACGUACCUUAUUCGUGCACGCUUUUGAGAUGGCGAUGAAGAAGAGUCGUUGGACCGAUGCGAUGGAGACGACGGCAUUGACCUGGAAUUCCGGAUAGCACUUCCAGCAAGUCCAAUCUCCUUCCACUUUCUUCUGCUAUGUUAUGUUACGGUACGACUCCUUUGCUACGAUUUGCUCCUCAAUUCCAUGACACAGUGCUUGGUUCAAUUUGCAGAAAAUCCAAAGCCCCAAGAUGAUGAUGGUCGAGAUAUACGGAGGCGAGGAUGAAAAAGCGUGAGAGAGUCACGAAUUUGGAGAUUUUUGGAUGAGUUUCGGUUGCUGUAGGAUGCUGAAGGUUGUUGCAGAUGGAGGAGGCGAAUGGAGAGUUGAGUCCAAUUGGUGAAGAACUCAGAAAGAUAGAAGGUGAUGGAAAAAAAUGGAAUCCUAUUUUGGUUGAAGGAUGCUCCAAAAAAUCCUCCAGAGCUUGGUUGAAGGUGCGUAUUUAUAGGCCUUCCAUUAUUUUUCUCUUCUCUCCUUCUCCUGCUAUCUGUUUUCGUUCUGAGAUGAGAGUGAGGUUGAGAGUUUGCGGUGGCGAUGGUUAUUGAAAGCGGUUGAAGGUGAAGAUUGAAGCAUGGUGAAGGUGGUUCUUGAUUGUGAUUGUGAAGUUUGUUAGAGUUUGGAGGGAGGGAAGAAGAAGAAGAACCUGGAAAGGAAUUUGAGAGAGGGAAGAAGAAGAAGAAUUUGGAAAGGAAUUCUGAGAGAGGUGAAGAUUAGUGAAUUUAUAGAGUAAUGAGAGGGAGGUUAGAAGUUUGAUAGAAAAAAAUCUAUUAUUUUCAUUUUCAUUUUUUUAUGCAGAAAUUCGUUUUUUGGAAGCUUAUAGCUUUGGCUGUGUUGUGGAGGAUUUACGCAUUGGCUUGCAGCCGGUGUUGUUGUUUUGGCGCAGCUAGCUUGGCAUGCUUUGAUUUGCAGCUUGUUGUGCUAUUCAUUGUUGAUGCAACCUGCGUUUAGCUGCAGCUUUGGAGCUUUUUGCGGUGAUGUUUUGUUGGUGUAGAAGCUUAUGGACCUGCGCCUGUCAUUGUUUUUACAGCUGGCUCCUUUAUUUUGUUUUAUUGUAAAUCAAUACAAUGUAAAGUGGAUAAUGGUUUCUAUUGUAAGGGUUUUUUGGUUAUUGGAUA